UGUGUUACAGGACGAUGAUGUUGGAUGAUCCAGGUAACUUCUACAGUAGUGUGAAAUACGACACAGCUACAGGUGUCACCAAGUCUGCAUACGCCUCAGGAAGCUUCCAGCCCACCGUGACAAGACACUGAACACUGGACUGGAGACAAGACACUGAACACAGAUCUGCCCAGCAUUUUCACCAGUGCAACACGUGAAAGGCUGCCCCCAGCUGGCCUGCCUUUGUUGGGCACAACUACUUCAGUCUCCAACACCAUACAAUCAAGGAAACUCAGGCUCUUGAUGUUGGAUUUGAGGACUUCUGUCUGGCCUCUGGUGUAGCAUACUGGAAGGAUGAAGCUGUCCUGCAUCUAACAAGACUAAGACCUCACUUUGAAGUCAUCUCAAAAGCUUUAUCCAUUAUGAGUCAAAUGCUUUCCCCCCAGAACACACCUUUCUGUCCAGGAUGCAUCAGGUAUUCUCCAAGUACAUGUAUGACUAAUCUGUCUAUUCUCAAGCAGAAAAAAAGGACAUAGUGCUGAUUCAAGAGUUGACCCCAACAGUAGGUGUGAGACCUUUCUGUGCCUUAGAAAGGACUUAGCUGUUCCUAAUAUAUGCCCAGUAACUCUGCCUACCAGUAGCAAAGCAGUCCUGUAUAUUUAGGGAAACUGAAUGUAGUUACACAUAAGCACACACUCUUCUAUGCAUAGUUGAAGGCUAAUUACUCAUAUACGUUUGCACCACAGAAAGCAAUAUUAAUCUUCAAACAGAUGUUGGGCUUGGGAAGGGGGAGAGAGAAAAAGAUAGUCCACUAGAAAUAUGUCAUGUAAAGCCUCUGAGCAGGACCCUACAUCUGCUUGGAGAUUGAGUACUAGUGCUUGCACAGAGAAUGGCCAGCUCCUGGCAGUAUGGGUACAAUUUGGUUUGCUUCACGAAUACAAUGUUGUCAAAGGAAGUUUGCCACACUGCUUGAAACAAGGAUGUUGGCAUUUUUAGUACAUAGUUUGUAUUAUUUUAAAGAGUGACAUUCAUAGGUAGUUUAUAGUGUUCUACAUUACAUUGAGAGUUCAGACUCAGUUUGAUAGACAGAAUAAGGCUGGAGAGGAAGAAUGAAAGAGACUUUACCUCAAGAUGUUCAACAUUCCUUUGUAAGUAAUAGACUAUCUGCUGAUUGUAACUCUCUCAAUACACAAGAAGCUGUUGUGUGUCUACUUCAAGCCUGUUAGGUUGACUGUUAGCUAGGUUAUGUUGCUGACUACCGUCUUCUUACUUGUGUACCUUCCGUCCAUUCUCUGUCAUCACACCAAAGAAUGCAGAAACCAACUCUUAUCAGCUUACAUGGUUUUAUUCAAAAAGUUUUUAAAAUGUAUCAAUGUAUGUAUGUAAUCUAUGUAUACUAUUAUAAUUACUACAAUGUACAGGGAGUAGCUUUUGAUACAAAGUCACUUGGAAUCAACUACUUAGUAUCUACAUUUAAGGGGUGCUUCUUGUAGCUUGUUUUUGUCAUAGUUUCACAUUACAUGACGUGUGGGUGAAUUUGAUUUUAAUUACCCAAUUUGCUGCAAUGAUUUUUUCCAAUUUUUUAAAAAUCAUAAUAGAAUUUGAUAUGUACAUACUAUUCAGGGUUUACAAAAUUGAGAAAAAAGUUUUGUACAAGCGAGAUGUACAAUAGUCUUGUUGGAAAUAGGUUUAACAAAGACACAGCUGUAUAUACAUUUUUUCGGCAUUCUAUCACUCGAUCGGAGUGCAGCUAUGCAAGCAUAUGGGAGUUGUGCUCAUCAUAGGAGACCUUUAAUUAAUAAAUACAGAGCAGCAAAGAAA